CCGGUGCCGCGCCUCUCAAGUUCGCGCAGAGAACUGCCAAGUCAGUUCCGGUCCGGCAGAGAACGCAGAGAGACGCAGAGCGCCGCGAGCUCCCCCUGGGCCCUCCAGGCCCUCCGGCCCCGGGCUGGCGGGUGAGCUGGGGGGCCCCGGGACAGGCUGUGCCCUCUGCCCUUCAGACACCGGAGGCCUCCGCUGUGGCUGCCCACUGGCCUGGCCAGGGUCAGGCCUUGAAGCCGUGGUGAACCUCUCUACCCCACCCCACUUCGGUGAUUGAUGGCGGCGGCGGCUUCUCCCAGCCAGUACCCCAGCCUGGACCCUGCUGGCCACUGGGUCUCCCGGCCCAAGUGUGCCAGGUCUCGACAGAGCCCCAGCUGAGCGGCCCGGAUGCAACGCCUUUGGGUGGCGGCGGGAGGGGUGGACCAGGAAACAUGGCGGCCACUCGAAUGCUGCGCAGCGGAGACCGUUAGGUCAUAGAGGGCCUGGGAAGGCGGCCUAAGGACGCAGGCAGGCUCGACUGCCUUUUUAGGCCACGGAGCCAUGCAGAUCCGGGUCCCCAGUGACCACUCCGUCCCCAUUGGGCGAGACCUACCUAGUCCUGACGACAACGGACAAAGGCCUUAACAGGCCUGGGAGGUGAGCGAAGUUCCGAACGACGACGGGUGGAACGGUUAACGGUCAUCGGGCUGUUAGUCUUCAUUCUACCAGACCUUGCUGUCGGAAGAGAGAAACGGUAGAAUGACAGGCGACGUUUGGCCCGUUGGAAAUGCCCACCACCCUCUGGGAAGAUUUACUGGCCGUUUAUGGAAGGCCUGUGUAUAUAAUAUGAAAAAGCUGCUCUCAACUCCACCCCAACCUUUUAAUAGAAAACAUUUGUCACAUCUAGCUCUUCUAGAUGUAAAGAGGUUGCCGACGUAUGAUAAAGUAGAGUUAGAAAACCACACAUCUUGUAAAUUCUCAUUUGUUUAAGAGAAAUCAUAGAAAAUACAUGUCUUCUGGAGAUGACUUUUGGAAAUGGAGUUGUUAGAUGGCCUCUGGAAGUGAUACAUCCAUGUUUGUUCAGUGGGUUAGAUGACGUGGAGCUGGAAGACCUGAAAAGGAGGAGAAGGAGGCUCUAUGCUAGACUGGUCAUAUUUAGAAGACAUUUUCAUAUUCUAGCCAUUGUUUUGUGUGCAUUUUAUUCUUCACUACUGUAUAUAUAGUUGACAAUGCUAAACUUUUUUGAAACGUCCGUUUUUAGAUGUUCUGAAGUGCCUGAUGUUAAAAUUAGAGGACGUAAAAUCGGAUUUUGUAAAUAUCUUUUUGUUACAAUUUGUAGGAAAUGUUUUUUGCGGGGAAUGGCCAAAUCACCUGUUGAGUAAUACUCAGUGUGUGUGCAGUGGUUCAGGGGAGGAGGGAGGAAGGGGAGGUGCAGAGAGUUCUAUGCCACCCUGCUUACAGCAAGGCAAGAUGAAUUAUUAUCUCUGUGUAUUUUGUUUUAUUUACCUGUGCAUAUAGUGUACAUAAAGGACAAAUGAGUCCCAACUUUAACAACAUCUGGUCUUUCUAGAUGUUAAAGAGGUUGCCAGUGUAUGACAGAAGUAGAGUUAGUAACUUGUACAUUUUGUACAUGUUUUGUACAUUUUGUUUUACAAGUCUAGGAAAGAUUGUCUUCUGAAAAUUUGAGCAUUCUUGCCCACUGGGUUGAUGGAGAUGGGAAGGGUUCUAGGCCAGAAUGUUCACAUUUGGAAGGCUCUUUCAAAUUAUAACUGUUAUUACAUGUUUGCAGUUUACUCAAGACUGCUGUGUCAUAGUGGACAAAUUAACUCCUUACUUGAAACAUCUAGUGCCCGAUGUAUGUUAAAUGUAGAGGUAGUAAAAUACCACUUUGUAAAUAUCUUUUUACUAAAAUUCAUAGGAAAUACUUUUGGAAAUUGAAUUGUGAAGCCACCUUUGUGAGCAGUAUAGUACUGUCUAUACUCGUUCAAUGGUUUAGAGGAGGUGGGAGGGAAGAAAUUGCAAACGGUAAUAUUCUAGUGUGUUCAACACUUGGACAUUUCAGACACUUUUUCUGUAGGUUUUGUGCAUUUUCUUUUGCUCUGUAUAUAGUGUAUAUAAUGGACAAUGAGUCCUAAUUUUUCAACAUCUAGACUCUAGAUGUUAAAGAGGUUGCCAGUGUAUGACAAAAUAUUUAGUAAAAUCAGUAUAUUUUGUACCCUUUGUGAUAAAAUUCAUAGGAAAACUUGUCUUCGGUAAACGACUUUUGCAUUGGAAUUUGUUCAGUCAUCUCUAAGCAUUACACGUGCCUGUACUUGUCCACUGGAUUGAAGGCAGAGAAGAAAGAGAGGAGGGGAUGAUUCAAGGCCAAAAUGGUCAUAUUUAGAAGAUACCUCAGAUGAUAACCAUUGUUAUGUGUGUGCAAUUUUAGUUAACAGUGCUGUGUACAUGGUGGACAAGUUAUAUGAAAUAUCUAGUCUUUCUAGAUCUUUGGAAGUGCUUGGUGUAUUUAAAAGUAGUAGUAGAAUAACACUUUUUGUAAAUAGCUUUUAAAAAGUGAUGGGAAAUGCUGUUGGGAAGUGGAAUUGUGGAACCACCUGGCAGGUGGGAGAGAAGAAGUUACAAAACGUGUUUUGCCAUUGUUUAUUAGAAAAUUUCAGCUUAAUCCAUUGCCUAUAUGUUACAUGCAUUUCAUUUAACUUUGCUAUACUGUAUAUAUUAUGUAUACACUGGACAAAUGAGUCCCAAUUUUAUAAUAUCUAGUCUCUAGAUAUUAAAGAGGUUGCCAAUGUAUGACAGAAGUAGAGUUAGUAAACUAACACAUCCUGUACACUUUGUUAAAAUUCAUAGAAAGGCUGUCUUCUGAGAAAGACUUUCGGAAGUGAAGUAACAUCAGCUCUAAGUGACACAUGUGCCUGUAUCCACCAGGUUGGUGGUGGUGAAGAGUUGGAAGAGUUCUAGACCAGAAUGUUCCUAUUUAGAAGACACUUUCAUAUAUAACCAUUGUUACAUGUGUGUAGUUUAUUCAACACUACUGUGUAUAUAGUGGACAAACUUAAGUCCUAAUUUGAAACAUCUAGUCUUUCUAGAUGUUUAGAAGUGCACAAAGUAUGUUAAAAGUAGAGGUAGUAAAUAACAAACACAUUUUGUAGCUGUCUUUUUGAUAAUAUCAUCUUUUGGAAAUUGAUCUAUUCUCUGAGCAGUACAUUAUGAUAUCUGUGCAGGUUCAGGGAGAAGGAGGAGCAUAAAGAACUUUCCACCAGUGUGUUCAUGAUGAGGCACAUUGAUCAUUGUCCCUUAUGUCUGCAUUUUCAUUAACUGUGCUGUGUAUAUAGUGUAUAUAAGCAGACAUAAGAGUCCUAAUUUACAUCUAGUCAAUGUUAAAGAGGUUGCCGUUGUAUGACAGAAGUAGAGUUAGUAAAUUCAAUACAUUGAGUAUAUCUUGUGUUAAAAAUCAUAGGGAAGACUUCUUAAAAACAGAAGUGAAAUUGUUAAAAUCCCCCCUAAGCUGUCCAUGGAGUUGGUAGAGGUCAGAAAGGGAGGUAGGUUCUAGGCCAGAAUGUUCCUAUUUAGAGGACACUCAAAUUACAGUCUGUGUUAUGUAUACAUUUAUUCAAUGCUACCGUGUACAUAAUGGAAAACUUCAAUUGGAAAUAUCUAGUCUUUCUAGGUGUUUAAAAGUGCACAACAUAGGUUAAAAGUAUAGCGUUAAAGUAACACCCCUCUAAGCAUUUGUUUUCAUUACUUCCUUAGGAGUGGUUGGUUGCAUUUGGGAAUGGAAUUGUUAAAAUUUGAUGCUUAGGAGCCUAUGCUGACUAUUCAUUGGUGAUGGGUAGGGGAGGAAGAGAUAUGCAGGGAGAAGUGUUCUGUGCCCCUGAGAUUAGUUCAGCUGGUCUAACCAUUGUUCUCUGUGUGCAUUUUACUUAAUAUUAUGUAUUAAAGGAUAAACAAGUCAAUGCUCAAGAGUAUGUUAAAAAUACAUAUAGUAAAUCAGUCCCUUUAUGAAUGUCUUUUUGUUAGUUUUUAAGAAGGCCUGUCUUCUGGGAGUGACCUUUAUUAUUAGUCCACCUCUUGGAGCCAGACAUCCUAUACUUAGUCACUGGGGAUGGUGGAAGAGGGAGAAGACAGGGUGAAGGGAAGGGCUCUUUACUAGUAUCUCCAUAUCUAGAAGAUGGUUUUAGAUGAUAACCACAGGUCUAUGUAAGUGUUUUUAGUAAAGUGUCUGUGUUUAUUGUGGACAAAGUUCAUUAUUUUGCAACAUGUAAGCUUUAUGAAUGUCUGGGGUGACAACAUAGAGUUAGUGAAUUAGCCAAUUUGUAAAUACCUUUGUUGUAAUUGAUAGAAAAGAUGCAUCUUGGACAUGGAAUUGUAAACCACCUCUGAGCAGUAUAUGUCAGGACUUGUUCAUUAGUUGGCAGCAGAGGGGCAGAAGGAACUCUAAAGGGAGAGAUGUAUGCAGAUGUGUCCAUAUUUACAUUUUGAUGCUAGCCAUUAAUGUAUGCGUCUCUUGUGGCUGUACUAUAGGAAUAUAUUAAAUAAUUCAAUGGAAAUAUACCUUACUAAUAUUUUAAUAGCAUAGAUCUGCUAAUGAGCUCUCUUAGAAGCGUUAUACUUAGUGUAUUCUGUUGCUGUAUGCUUCAUUUUAAAUUGAGCAUUAAGGGAAUGCAGGAUUUAAAUCGGAACUCUGCCAAUGCUUUUAUCUAGAGGCGUGUUGCCAUUUUUGUCUUUAUGAAAUUUUUAUCCCAAGAAAGACAGGAUUACAUUUUUUUUUUUUAACAGACUGAGUUGGUGUAGUGUAUUUUUGGUUAUCAAAAUGCUCAUAUAGCUUUGGGAUUUUGAAUUGGUAAAUAUUCAUGAUGUGUGAAAAAUCAUGAUACAUACUAUACAAUCUCAGUCCCAUAAAAUUGGAUGUUGUGCUUGUAGAUGCACAGGACCUAGAAGAAUGUGUGAAACUAUAAACUGCUUGUGAUUGUGACUUUGUUAUUUGCUUCUCGUGUUUUUCAGUUUCCUCUUAUGUACUUUUUAAAAGUAAAAGUUAUUUUAAAAACAUGUAUUAAGCCCUCGUUGCUUGUAGAAUAAAGUUAGUAUACUCCACAGAA